UACGAAGGGUGCAAGCGUUACUCGGAAUUACUGGGCGUAAAGCGUGCGUAGGUGGUUUGUUAAGUCUGAUGUGAAAGCCCUGGGCUCAACCUGGGAAUUGCAUUGGAUACUGGCAGGCUAGAGUGCGGUAGAGGGUAGUGGAAUUCCCAGUGUAGAGGUGAAAUUCGUAGAUAUUGGGAAGAACACCGGUGGCGAAGGCGGCGACCUGGUCCUUAUACUGACGCUGAGGCGCGAAAGCGUGGGGAGCAAACAGGG
rnacentral:rRNA from 1 species